UGCAAGUCGAACGAUGAAGCCAGCUUGCUGGUGGAUUAGUGGCGAACGGGUGAGUAACACGUGGGUGAUCUGCCCCAAACUUUGGGAUAAGCCUGGGAAACUGGGUCUAAUACCGAAUAUUACCUUCUCCUGCAUGGGGGUUGGUGGAAAGCUCCGGCGGUUUGGGAUGGGCCCGCGGCCUAUCAGCUUGUUGGUGGGGUAAUGGCCUACCAAGGCGACGACGGGUAGCCGGCCUGAGAGGGCGACCGGCCACACUGGGACUGAGACACGGCCCAGACUCCUACGGGAGGCAGCAGUGGGGAAUAUUGCACAAUGGGCGCAAGCCUGAUGCAGCGACGCCGCGUGAGGGAUGACGGCCUUCGGGUUGUAAACCUCUUUCACCAGGGACGAAGCGAAAGUGACGGUAC
rnacentral:rRNA from 1 species